AUUUCAGCCUGAUGACAACAAUCAUUAUUACCACCACCAUUACCACAGGUAACGGUGCGGGCUGACGCAUACAGGAAUCAUCAAAAAUAAGCCCGCACCUAAACAGUGCGGGCUUUUUUUUC
rfam:Erwinia billingiae strain Eb661 complete chromosome.